rnacentral:lncRNA from 1 species
GGAUGUGGUCACGGUGCGAGUAUCUUACUCGGAGAACGGUCUCGAGUCCAGUCGGUUUAAAGUUGUCCGGAGAGAGAGGCGUUGGACAUACGUUGAACAGA